AUGUAACUUUUAAUAUAUAAGUAUUAGAUGUGAAAUUCUUCUUAUUUGACACGUAGCGAUAUAAAUAAGGUUUGACAGCUUAAACUCUUAGAAGUAUUUCCUUGAGCAAAUAUAUCUAAUUCUUUUCUAUUGUUCACCUAGAAUUCUAUCUAACCAAAUAAUCGGAUUUCCCUAAUGGUCGUACAAACAAAGUAUUAAGUAAUUAAAAACAGUAACCCCAAAUUAUGUAAAAUUGUAAAUUAGUUUAAAAGAUAUCUAACCAAUAGAAACUGUUCUUAUAAAAAUAUGUAUUCUAAAAGUCAUUUUGAUUGGUGAAUAAAACAAGUCCAACCAGCACGUGUUCUAGGGGAUUAAAAUAGGAAACCCUAAGGAAUCAAACAUUAAUUUACUGGUAUGGUUGGACUCGAAAUAAACAUAUAUAGACAUCUUUGUUUUAUUCACCAGGUUCGUAAACUUAUAAAUUUUGUUUAAUGAAAAACAUAACGUAACCUUAAUAAUGUUUUAAUGUAACAGUUUAUAACAGAAAUCUUUCUUAAUUAAAGUUACCAUUAAUAUCAUGAUAAACUAUUUUAAUUAAUUGAUAAAGUAUUUUGAUAAUUGUUAAUUCAAUUUCAUUUUAAGAAUCAAACUCUUUAUUUCAUUUUUAUGUAUUUGAUUAAUUUACUGGUAUGGUUGGACUCGAAAUAAACACAUAUAGACAUCUUUGUUUUAUUCACCAGGAGGCCUCGAAAGAACAUGAACGACAGUCCCCCAAACUGUUGUAGUUAAGAAUAGUGAGAACAGACAUGUAAAGCAGUGAAACACAUUUAACCAUUCAACGGGAAAGGGGAGGCAACUGUCUUAGUCUGCGCUUUCCCCCUCUUUCCCGCAUAACA
rnacentral:lncRNA from 1 species